AUGAAAAUGAAAAUAAAAAAAUAAACGCUCCCGUAGUGAAGAACCGCGUUAUCAUUACAUUAACAACACAAACGUUCUCACUAUUUUACAAAACGUCAUUCUCUCCCAAGAUUCCAAUCGGGACAACAAAAGAAACCCGAGUGAUCGUAAUUGCCAGAUAUGAAACAUUCAACUUUUUGAAAGAUUACAGACAAAUCGUACAAACAAUUCCAAAUUUCAAAGCAACCAGCUUUUAGAUACUACUGCGAUGACAGAUGUAUGAACACAUCCAACGAAGGAGACAAACGUCAAAAAAGAAAAAGACAUUUAAAGUAGUAGCUCAAAAGAAAUAUAAUAUGACAAAAGGUGGUGAUAAAAAUGGGAAAAUUAAUAGUUAUACAAACGAAGUUUCGAUCAGCGAGAAAUAAGAUUUAAUCGGUAAUAAACGCCUGCAAAAAGUAAAAAAAAAAAGAGCUCCAAUAAACGGUAGCAAAUUCUGUUGACCUCCCGUCUAGUGCAAAAUUUUGUUAUUUUCCCAAAUUAAUUGCAAACAAUAAUGUAUUAAACAACGAUAACAAAUAAAAAGAGUUUACAAGAAGGAGGCCUUUACUGCCCCGUGGGAAAAAAAAAAAAGAGAAUCUUGCUGUGGAAAUAAGAAUUAAUGUUUGCAUAUCGUAUUGGUGAAAAAAUUAUUGAUUAACAAAACGAUCCUCAUUUGGUUAUGUGCGAUCACUCUUAAAAAUAGAGAAGAAAUUAACUGUAAAGUGGGAGUUAGCAAGUAGUGGAAAAAAAAAAACAACAACAACAUAUACAACAAGCAAGAAGUCAGAGAUUAUUAACGCUGCCAGCGCUGCAGCUCCUACGAUAUUCAUUUCCCAAGUAAUGGUUGUAAACUGGGAUCGUCAAUGCCAGUCGCUACCAUUACCUAGUGCAGUGAAUACCCACGACACUGUUGAUUUGAAGGAGAGGCCUCACUUUGAGGCGGGAAUAUGUUGAAGCGAGUUCAACAAGUUUGUAGUAUAAACCUUCCUUGACUUACCACAGAAUGCCCGCUCACGAAGAGCACUAAUGGAUACGUUUCAAAAAUUACAUUUAAGCUAUCUCAUUCUCAAACAUUCACUCAUUUCUCAAUUACUCAAUACUAUUGCACUCCUCUAGUUAUUACAUUAUCGUUCUAAUUGGUUUUUUUUACAACAUCUCCCUGAGCAUUAAUUUGUUUCACAUAAGAACCGUUGUAAGAAACUUGGAGUCUACCCUGAAUUCAAAGGAAAGUGUGCAACCAGUCAAGUGUAUCGCUUUGAAAAGUUAAGCCAAAUCUUUGUAUAAUAAAGCACAUUGAAAUCUACAAAA